rnacentral:rRNA from 1 species
GACGAACGCUGGCGGCGUGCUUAACACAUGCAAGUCGAACGCUGAAGCUCAGCUUUUGUUGGGUGGAUGAGUGGCGAACGGGUGAGUAACACGUGAGUAACCUGCCUCCUUCUUUGGGAUAACGCCCGGAAACGGGUGCUAAUACUGGAUAUUCACUGGUCUUCGCAUGGGGGUUGGUGGAAAGGGUUUUUCUGGAGGGGGAUGGGCUCGCGGCCUAUCAGCUUGUUGGUGGGGUGAUGGCCUACCAAGGCUUUGACGGGUAGCCGGCCUGAGAGGGUGACCGGUCACAUUGGGACUGAGAUACGGCCCAGACUCCUACGGGAGGCAGCAGUGGGGAAUAUUGCACAAUGGGCGCAAGCCUGAUGCAGCGACGCCGCGUGAGGGAUGGAGGCCUUCGGGUUGUGAACCUCUUUCGCUCAUGGUCAAGCCGCAACAAUGGUUGUGGUGAGGGUAGUGGGUAAAGAAGCGCCGGCUAACUACGUG